rnacentral:rRNA from 1 species
AACGAACGCUGGCGGCAGGCCUAACACAUGCAAGUCGAGCGGACCCUUCGGGGUUAGCGGCGGACGGGUGAGUAACGCGUGGGAAUAUGCCCUUCUCUACGGAAUAGUCCUGGGAAACUGGGGGUAAUACCGUAUACGCCCUUUGGGGGAAAGAUUUAUCGGGGAAGGAUUAGCCCGCGUUGGAUUAGGUAGUUGGUGGGGUAAUGGCCUACCAAGCCGACGAUCCAUAGCUGGUUUGAGAGGAUGAUCAGCCACACUGGGACUGGGACACGGCCCAGACUCCUACGGGAGGCAGCAGUGGGGAAUCUUAGACAAUGGGGGCAACCCUGAUCUAGCCAUGCCGCGUGAGUGAUGAAGGCCUUAGGGUUGUAAAGCUCUUUCAGCUGGGAAGAUAAUGACGGUACCAGCAGAAGAAGCCCCGGCUAACUCCGUG